rnacentral:pre_miRNA from 1 species
UAAGUACUCUCUCCGUUCGGAAUUACUUGUCUCGGAAAUGGAUGUAUCUAGAACUAAAAUACGUCUAGAUACAUCCAUUUCUGCGACAAGUAAUUCCGAACGGAGGGAGUAUUUC